CGGGGUAUGGCACAGUUUGGUAGUGCGCUUGGUUCGGGACCAAGAGGCCGGGGGUUCAAGUCCCUCUACUCCGACCA
rnacentral:tRNA from 1 species